CUUUCCUAGCGGCGGACGGGUGAGUAAUGCUUAGGAAUCUGCCAUUAGUGGGGGACAACAUUCCGAAAGGAAUGCUAUACCGCAACGCCCUACGGGGGAAGCAGGGGAUCUUCGGACCUUGCGCUAUAGAUGAGCCUAAGUCAGAUUAGCUAGUUGGUGGGGUAAAGGCCUACCGGCGACGAUCUGUAGCGGGUCUGAGAGGAUGAUCCGCCACCUGGGACUGAGACCGGCCCAGACUCCUACGGGAGGCAGCAGUGGGGAAUAUUGGACAAUGGGCGAAAGCCUGAUCCAGCCAUGCCGCGUGUGUGAAGAAGCCUUUUGGUUGUAAAGCACUUUAGCGAGGAGGAGGCUACUUAGAUUAUACUCUAGGAUAGUGGACGUUACUCGCAGAAUAAGCACCGGCUAACUCUGUGCCAGCAGCCGCGGUAAUACAGAGGGUGCGAGCGUUAAUCGGAUUUACUGGGCGUAAAGCGUGCGUAGGCGGCUUUUUAGUCGGAUGUGAAAUCCCUGAGCUUACUUAGGAAUUGCAUUCGAUACUGGGAAGCUAGAGUAUGGGAGAGGAUGGAGAAUUCCAGGUGUAGCGGUGAAAUGCG
rnacentral:rRNA from 1 species